UAGCCAGACGAUGUCGCUGCC
rnacentral:siRNA from 1 species